rnacentral:rRNA from 1 species
AUGAGGUUGGGAUCCAUGCCGGUGCUCUCCCUCUUCGUCAACGCGCUCCCCCUCUUCGUCGUCCUCCGGUCCGACGCGAAUGCGUUCGCCACCCCCACAGAUAACAUCGUGAGGCAGCUAUCGUCGGUGGUGAAGUGGCCACGCGGUUCUCCCCCCCACUCGCCCAAGCAGUCCUCACACCCCCAGUAUGAUGGGAAUGUAGCAGUGCAAUUUGAGAGUGGCUACUUUGUUGAGACGCUUGUUGAAGGAGACAAGCUCGGUGUCACGCCCCACACCAUUAGGGUGUCCCCAGUUGAGGGUGGAGAGCUUCUUGCAGUAGACUCAGCACAUAGCAACAUUGUGCGAAUAACCCCACCAUUAUCUGAAUAUAGCAGGGGAAGGCUAGUUGCUGGUUCUUUCCAGGGGCAUGCAGGUCAUAUCGAUGGUAAACCUAUUGAUGCAAGAUUCAAACGCCCCACUGGUGUUGCUGUGGAUGAUACAGGAAAUGUUUACAUUGCUGAUACAGCAAAUUUGGCAAUUCGAAAGAUUGGCGAGUCAGGGGUGACCACUAUUGCUGGUGGAAAAUCCAAUAUCCCAGGGUAUAGGGAUGGUCCCAGUGAAGAUGCAAAGUUCUCUACUGAUUUUGAUGUUGUAUAUGUGAAGAAAAUGUGCUCUCUGUUGGUCAUUGACCGUGGGAAUGCUGCCCUUCGGAAAAUCGUCCUUCCGCAAGAGGACUGUACUUACCAGGAUGCCGCAUUCCUAUCUUCAGAUAUCAUACUGGUUAUUGGUGCCGUUGUGGCUGGAUAUCUCUUUUCUGUGGUACAGCACGGAUUUGGUUCAUCAACUUCUGAAAAGAUAGAAGCAUCUGAAGAUGGUAAACAAGAGAGCAGCACUGCAGGAAAGCCACCUUUGGUUGUGGAGAGCCUUAAAGAGGAACCAAGUGCGGGAUGGCCGUCUUUGGGGACACUUGUUGCUGAUCUACUGAAGCUUGCUGUUGAAGGUGUGGGGAAUCUUGUCCUCAACAUUGCCCCGCUGCACAUGCAACGUGUGAAGAGAAAAACAGGCCUCACUCCUCUCAAAGAUAGGCUUGUGAUGCCCGAGGACAGGGAGGAGAACCCAGUAGCCCAGAAGCUCAGUAGCACCCCAAUGAUAACCGAGACGCUCCAUGCUCCUAGUGCUGCUAACGAGACCGUGGCAAAGGCUCAGAAGAGCAUCAAAUCAUCGAAAUUCAGGGAUUCUACUCUCUCAAGCAAGCACAGGUCCACCAAGAGACAGGAGUACGCUGAGUUCUACGGUUCAACCGAGACACCUCAAGCAAGCGCAAAGGUCCCAAAAGACCGGCUCCGCCACCGUCAUCGGGAGAAGAGUGGGGAGGUUACCUAUGGGACUGGGCAUCCAGAGCCUAAGCCCUCAGAGAUGAAAGCGGCAGACUACAGCGAUCCGAAGUAUGAUCACUACAACAUGAGAAGCAAAUAUGGUGCUGACAGCGGCUUCAGGUACUGA